ensembl:lncRNA
UAACUUUAAAGGGCUUAAUUCACCCUCAUAUUUAAUGACACAAUUAACAUUUUACACCUUGUCUAACGGAAAGCAUGUUUUACUUCACAUAUAUUUGAAAGAUUUAAAUAUAAAGUGAAUUUAAACACAACCACAACUGGUUGUAUGUCUGGAGAGAGAGAGACAGAGAAGGAAAGAGAGAGAAAGAGAGGAGAGAGAGGGGGAGAGAGAGAGAGACAGAGAAGGAAAGAGAGAGAAAGAGAGGAGAUAGGGGAGAGAGAUAAAGAGAUGUGUGAGACAUCGAGGAUGAGGGAGAGAGAGAGAGGGAGAAGAGGGGAGAGAGAGAGAGAUAUGUGAGACAUCGAGGAUGAGGGAGAGAGAGAGAGAGAGAGAGAGAGGGAGGGAGAGAGAGAGAGAGAGAGGGAGAGGACCUCAAAGCGGGCGUAGUAAAACACACAAUUUAUUAUCAAUGUGAUAGAAAUGAAAUCACAGGACAAUUAGAAGCAUGUCAACCCAUCGUCAGCACCAACAACAGCUCUAUAGAACAGAAAUGAAACACAAGGUGGGCGGGUACCCACCCAUCCAACCCACCCCCUCC